rnacentral:siRNA from 1 species
UGCUACACAAAAUGCUUUAGCUUU